UACAGAGGUCCCGAGCGUUGUUCGGAUUCAUUGGGCGUAAAGGGUGCGUAGGCGGCGGGGAAAGUCUGAUGUGAAAUCCUGGGGCUCAACCCUGGAACUGCAUUGGAUACUUCCUUGCUAGAGUACUGGAGAGGAAACUGGAAUUUACGGUGUAGCAGUGAAAUGCGUAGAUAUCGUAAGGAAGACCAGUGGCGAAGGCGGGUCUCUGGACAGUUCCUGACGCUGAGGCACGAAGGUCAGGGGAGCAAACGGG
rnacentral:rRNA from 1 species